AAAUUUUUUUAAGAAAUUCGCUGUUUUUCCCCUUUACGCGUAUUUCCUUAAAAAACUCCACCGGGAGUACAGAUUUAAAAUCUCCAGGCUUAUUACCGAUCUUUAGCGACCAGUCGUUUUAGCAAUAGUUGCACGAUUAUCGCUGUCAAAACAUAAAUUCGUAUUACGGAACGAACAAUUGCGACCAGUCGACUACAGCGCCUCUAGCGAGCAACUAAUAAACUAAAACUGCAUGAAAAUGCUUUGACAGAAAGCGACCGGUUGCUUUUUCGUAUUACCGAACGACAUUUACAGCGACGCAAGAGCAAUUAGCGACGGACUUUUGACAACUAGUGCCACAGUGGUUGUUUGGUAAUUGUUGAUUGAUUGCUUUUUCAAAUUACAUUGUUAUUUCAUCUCCUUAAUCCGUGUGUAUAACUGCGAUGGUGCGAGUUCUCAUUUUAUUGGACUAUUUAAAUGGAAAAGAGAGUGUUACAUGGAGGAACGCUACCAUUCUUCGGUGGAGAAUCCGAAAUAAUGCCAUCGGCAGGGCCUUUGAGAUUUCGGACUUCCAAGUUCAGGUCUCAUAGAUUAUCCAAGGCAUUGUUCAAAGGGCCAUGAAUUGACUCCUCUCUUGUCUCGUCGACAAAGGACAAAUAAAAUUUCCGUGGAAAGUAAGGGGACUCGCAAUAUCCAUUACGUUUGUGGCUAUUAACACCAGUCUCAAAUGCUGUUCCUGACAGUGCAGAAGAAUAUUAUAUUGAUUUUCACUGUAGAGCCAGAAACACCAUUGAACGGGGCAUUGGGGAAUUGAAAGCGAUGUGAAGAUUUUUGCUUUCACAGAGUUUCGCAUUAUCAUGAUAGCACUGUUACAAAAAUUAUGAAAGCCUGCUCGGUAUCACAUAACAUUGUCAAUGGAGCUACACUUACACCAAGAAGAGUCUACCAAAGAUUCUACGAGGCCUAUUCCUGCAAUAACAGCUCUGAAUCAUCCCAGUUCGAGUUAGAAAGAGGCCACAGUCAAAAGGCAAUAAUAAUACUGAGGUUAUGGAGAAGCAGAUAAGAAUGUUAAGCCAUUGGGAAAAAUUAUGUAUGUAUAUGUACACAGCACUAUGCACACAAUUUUAUAUUGUAUUACUAGAUAGUUAGACAGUGUUCUUCUUGUUCCAUAUAAUAUCAAAAUUUGACUUGUUUGUUAAAAGUACUAGACAGUAAGUAGUUAGUAAAGUAUUUUCUUGU